rnacentral:rRNA from 1 species
CCUACGUGAGGCAGCAGUCGAGAAUCAUUCACAAUGGGGGAAACCCUGAUGGGGCGACGCCGCGUGGGGGAAUGAAGGUCUGCGGAUUGUAAACCCCUGUCAUGUGGGAGCAAAUUAAAAAGAUAGUACCACAAGAGGAAGAGACGGCUAACGCUGUGCCAGCAGCCGCGGUAAUACAGAGGGCUCAAGCGUUGUUCGGAAUCACUGGGCGUAAAGCGUGCGGAGGCUGUUUCGUAAGUCGUGUGUGAAAGGCGCGGGCUCAACCCGCGGACGGCACAUGAUACUGCGAGACUAGGGUAAUGGAGGGGGAACCGGAAUUCUCGGUGUAGCCGUGACAUGCGUAGAUAUCGAGAGGAACACUCGUGGCGAAGGCGGGUUCCUGGACAUUAACUGACGCUGAGGCACGAAGGCCAGGGGAGCGAAAUGGAUUAGAUACCCUGGUAGUC